UUUGUAUAAGUAAGAGGAAGAGAAAGAAAUUACGGUAGAGAGAGGCAGGAAAGAGACACGGCGGCGGCGUUUAGGGUUCCGCCGCAAACACAACGACGUUGGCGACUGUCACGGUGACCUAGGGUUCUGACUUCGAUAGUAGGCGACGGUUUGUGAACUAUGGUGUUGAUGAAGAUGUCUUAGAAAGGUGGAUCGGUGUUAUGCAGUCAAACUCAGGGCAGAUCGGCGAUGGUAACGGGUGAUCCUCAGUCUUCCGGCGCAUUAGGCUAUAUUGCACCUUUUUUUUGCUCAGAAGAAUGCAAGAGGAUGUUGAGCUUUCUCUUCCUUGUAAUGGUUAUAUUAUUUAACCAUUAAUGGGUUAUUAAAGUGGGAUAUUACAUGAUAAAUAAUCUAUAGUAUAUAUUAAUCUGUAAAAUUAGUGUGCAUUAUGGUAUUGUACAUGAUGCUUAAAGGUUGUUUUGUGCUAAGUGUUGUUGUACACAAUGCUUGGUUGGUGACUGGUGUAAUCUUCAUAGUGCCACAUUUAUGCUUUAAUCUUCAUAUUAUGGUGGUGUUGUACAUAUACAACGUACCAAACCUGAAUAAUAUGUGUACAAUAGAGUAGGAGUGACAUUUGUCGUCCACCAAAAUAAAAAGCUACACACAUCCCCAUUAUCAAUGUUCAUGCUUUCUCUCUCUUUGUCUAGAAUAUGCGAUAUAGAGAGAGACAUUUGAGAGUAGGGGAGACGGUGGCACAACACUGAUAGGCCACGAUAACGACAGAGAUGGUGUUACCCGGAGGCGAUGUUGGCGAUUUUCCAGCGACCAAGAUUCGAUGGGCUACGAACGGUGAGAUUUUUAGGUUUCCAACAACUUUCGACAACAUUGGGGCUUUUCCGAUGAUCUUUCGGUAAUUAAAGAUUAGAUCGCUGCUGCACCAUUUUCUGAGGAAAAACGAACCUGAUGCGCCAGAUUGAUCUAAAAGGGUGCUGAGAAAAAGAAUGUCGUUUUAGGUAUUUGAUUUCGAAUUUACUCUUUCGUAGGACAACGUAGAUAAGAUUCAUCAUGAAAAUGUUCGGUAUGUUUUUUGAAUUAAUGUUAUUUAGUUUUCGAAAACGUGUCAACCAAUUACAAGACAUGUAGUUAAACGAAUAUUUGGUUUGCUACAAGCUAUAGUCAUGUCUAUUUAGCGUUUGUGUUAAUUUAAUUUAGAUUCAUAUCCGU